CAAUCCUGACUUGAUUCUUUGCUAGUAAAACAUACCCACAUCAGAUUGUAAUCCCCCUUGCACAUGUAUAGCGGAUUGGUUCUCUCCCGGAUCGAAUUUGAGUAGUAAAACCAGCAUUUGUUCACCCUCAGUAGUGAACAUACUUUCUUGUUGUUGUAGAACUCUCCGGACUAAAGUAUUCAGCUCUUCUUUGAAUCUCUUAACUCAAGCUCUCGUCACCGGACCAAUUGGAG
rnacentral:lncRNA from 1 species